rnacentral:rRNA from 1 species
AAUAUUGGACAAUGGGCGCAAGCCUGAUCCAGCCAUGCCGCGUGAGUGAUGAUGGCCUUAGUGUUGUAAAUCUCUAUCACCGAUGAAGAUAAUGACGGUAGUCGUAGAAGAAGCCCCGGCUAAUUUCGUGCCAGCAGCCGCGGUAAUACGAAAGGGGCUAGCGUUGUUCGGAUUUACUUGGCGUAAAGCGCACGUAGGCGUAUUGGUCAGUUAGAGGUUAAAUCCCGAAGCUCAACUUAGGAACUGACUUUAAUAAUGCCAGUCUCAAGUCCGGAAGAAGGAAGUGGAACUCCUAGUGUAGAGGUGGAAUUCGUAGAUAUUAGGAAGAACACCAGUGGCGAAGGCGGCUUACUGGCUCAUUACUGACGCUGAGGCGCGAAAGCGUGGGGAGCAAACA